UACGUAGGGGGCAAGCGUUGUCCGGAAUCAUUGGGCGUAAAGCGCGCGUAGGCGGCCAGAUUAGUCCGGUGUGAAAGUCAGAGGCUCAACCUUUGAAUGCCGCUGGAAACUGUCUGGCUUGAGUCCGGAAGAGGAGAGUGGAAUUCCUGGUGUAGCGGUGAAAUGCGCAGAUAUCAGGAAGAACACCCGUGGCGAAGGCGGCUCUCUGGGACGGUACUGACGCUGAGACGCGAAAGCGUGGGGAGCGAACAGG
rnacentral:rRNA from 1 species